AAAGACAUCAAAUUUAUUUCUCUUCUUAUAUCUUUGUUUAUUCUGCUCAUAUUUGUCUCAUCUCAAGUGGAAGACGCCCAGGCCAAACAUCUCCAACGGAGCGAAUUUCGCUUGGAUUACGUUCCUCUUCCUCUUCCUCCUCCUCCCCCUCGCCCUCAACCUCCCAAAUCCUAUAUGCCGCCCUCUAAAUCACCUAGAGGAAAAGGCCCAUAAGCCAAACUCGUCUCCAGAAGUGACGAAUAAGAGGUCAAAGAAAGUGAGUAAGAAGAACUGUCAAGCUCAUAUCAAACUAAUUAAAAAAGAAAGAAAAUGGUGAAGACAGUCUUAUAGUAGCUGGACCUUUGCAGGUAAGGUCUGAGUUUACAAUCGCUUAUUUACAUAUGCAUAACUAUUUUGCAAUAUUAAAAUUUAGAGUUAUCUACGUCAAACCAUCUUAUUCA